GUAACCGAGCGCAACCCUUGUCCUUAGUUACCAGCACGUUAUGGUGGGCGACUCUAAGGAGACUGCCGGUGACAAACCGGAGGAAGGUGGGGAUGACGUCAAGUCAUCAUGGCCCUUACGGCCUGGGCUACACACGUGCUACAAUGGUCGGUACAAAGGGUUGCCAAGCCGCGAGGUGGAGCUAAUCCCAUAAAACCGAUCGUAGUCCGGAUCGCAGUCUGCAACUCGACUGCGUGAAGUCGGAAUCGCUAGUAAUCGUGAAUCAGAAUGUCACGGUGAAUACGUUCCCGGGCCUU
rnacentral:rRNA from 1 species